CGGCGUUGCAUCCUGUUGACUUUGUCUGUAACUCCACUGUCAACCACUAGAUGGAGGCACAAUAGUUAACUUGACACGCUUUACGGUUGAAUGAAGAAGAAUGAAAACGGGAAGUACUCCAGCUGUGGCUACUGGCUAAUUGUGAAGAUGAUUAACGCCGACUCAUCUUCAAUGCUCCUUCGUACGCCGACUGAGCACAAUGUUAUGGACAGUUUGAUGGCGCUCGCUGGGUGGGGAGGACCCCAAAAAAACAACCGCGGUUCUAGGCCGGACCGGCCCAGACGGGGUCGACGAGAAGGCCCGCCGCGCGCUCCUCGGAACAAGCGAGCCAGUGUGCUUGUCGGAGGAGGUCUGUCCGCAGGUGGCUCGCCCGGGGCCCACCGAGCCUCAUCGCUUGCCAGCGUCGUCUUGUCCUCGACACAAAUGAGGCGUCCCGGCAACGCCGGGGCCGCGCGGGGAAUGACCGACCGGAAUUAAAUACCCAAGUCCUGAAUUAGGAAGAGGAUUGCUUUGCUGCCAUCUGGGUGCCACCAUGCUACGUUUUGCGCCCGAGGGCCCGACAGCAUCAUGCCGAGACGCUCCAGUUCCACCAGCCUUUGACCUUAGCAGGAAGCGCCGAAGCACUAUUUACAGACACAACAACAAUGUCAACAAUCUUCUCAGGUGCGUAUUGUUCGCUUGCUCGCUCGCUUUUGGGUGACCCCCUCCCGUAGGAGAAAAGUGGAAGUUGUGCGUGUCCGGGCACAAGCGGGCAUGCGCCGCCCCGCCCCCCCUCCGUUCACACGGCCGCUGUUUGCACGGCCCUUUAUUUUCCCUUUGCCGCGGCUCGCCCUCCAAACAAAAACCUCCCCCCCCCCCCCCCAAAGCGUGAGAGUGUUUGCUUAAUAAUUGUGUUCGCCAAGGCCUACUGGGCACUUAGGUGGUUAUUCCGGGACGCGUUUGGAGAACAAAACGUGAUGACGUGUCCCAACGCUGCGAGAAUGACACAGGACGGGCAAAAAGAUGGCAGAGGUUCCGUUCAUGAGUCCCCAGAAGGGAGAUUCACUCCGACCGGAUUACCGGAUCGCUCUGCCACUUUCUUUGAUGAAUAUUUGAUGAAGUAAAUUCUCUGUUGCAGCGAUACUCAAAGCCUGUGGUCUCGAGUACCGCGAUGGGGCUUCCCGGGUCCCCGCACGGGACGUGAUGAAAUCACUCAAUGAACGGCACUAGCAGGAGAGUAUUUCCAUAUAUUUAAGAGGUCAGGUUUAGGAAGUAUUUCAUAACGUCAAGAGUAUUUCGGUUGCUUUUGGGGAGUAUUUUCAAAGGAUUGGUCUAACUUUCGGGAGUAUGUAACAAUACUACAAAUAUUUUGCUAACUUUGAGUGACUAUUUCAGUUGACAUGGACCGACUUUUAGUUUGUCUCGGCGUGUUGCUCGG